UACUGAUUGUACUGCAUGCCUAAUUGAAUUUUAUUUUUCUCCCCUUAACCAAAUUCAUAAAAUUUUAGUCCAAGGGGAGAACCUCAGACUCUUUUCUGAACCAGUGCAUCUUCAAGGAUUCUCAUUGUUCUUCUGGCUGUAGUAGGAGCAUUUUCUGAAGAAGAAACUGCUGAUCAAGGUGGAGGAGGAGAGAGCCUUGACAGCCUGGCCCAUGGCAGCAUGACACAAUCAUCUUUGUUCUUAAAAAAUGUCCCUGAGAUGUCACUGCUGAGGAGCACAGAGAUGGAAACAGAAAGUGAAUAUGGCUGACAACCAAAAUGAGUCUGCCCUAUAGAUCAUCCUGUACCAGAGAUCUACAGCAUAAUGGCCUGGAAGCAGUCUUUGUUUUGGAGCCAAGCCCAGCAAAGUCUCAAUUCCUUCCCCUUCAAUCGCCAUCUGGAUGAACAAGGCCAAGUCAUUGACCUUCUCUGGGCCUCAGUUUCCUCACCCAUAAACUGGAGCAAAGUCAUCUCCAAGACAGCAGGAACCAUGUUUACUCUUUAAUCAUUGUAUGCUCCCUAAAUAUUUGCUGAACAAGUGAACAAAAAACCUGGUGGUGGUGAAAUUAGACUCCUUCUUGGUGUCACCAGGAGGUCCAGUUAAACAUACCAAGACUUGAGGAAUUAUGUCCAAGGUUCCAGCAUUGAACAUGAAGAACGCAGGAUUUAUUGGCACGUCGUGAUAACCGUAAAGCCCACGCUUCUACUGCAGUGUUGAGUUUGCGUGCCAACAGGAAAGAAUUCUGCAUGGGAGUCAGAACAUUUGUAUUAAAGACCUGAUUUUACUGGGCAACAGAGCGAGACCUUGUCUCUACAAAAAAUAAACAAAACUAACCAGGCACAGUGGUGUGCACCUGUAGUCCCAGCUACUUGGGAGGCUGAGGCUAUUGGCAGGAGAUCUUCCCAGAAGAAAAAGAAUGGAGGAAAGAUGUUGGAAAGGAAGACACAAUUGGCCAACAAGAGAAAGGAAGAGCUUCUCCAAGACUGGAAAGAGAACAAGGCUAACUUCUGUUCAACUCCCUGGCAAGUUGGUGGAUCUCAGAGAUGAAUGAUCUUGAGUCACACCAAGGUCAUGACGCCUGGGUGUGGGGAACUUCUCGUCUCAAGAAGGAACUCAUUUCAACUAUGACACACAAUGGUGAAGAUGCAAUUAUGCAAAGGACUUUCUACUUAGAAAAAAAAAGUUCAUAUCAUGGAUAACCAGCACAGACAUACAUUUUGGAAGCCUUUUUUAAAUAUUCGAGUCUUCAUGAAACCCUAAGUUUCUCUCACACAGUCAUGAAUUUAGGGGUAGGGAGUUCCAAUAAUGACCAAAUUUGAAUUUCUCAACAUACCAGGAGAGAUCUCAGGAUAGGAUUUACUUUGAUUUAAGGGGAAUAAGAGAUUUUUGACAUUUCUGUAUUUCUCACAUUCAAAUUUGACAAUGGGAGGAUCAUGCCCUGCCCCCCACCCUCAUUCUCCAUCUCUCUGAAGCCCAGGCUUUUAACCAUUGGCCAGAGGGCUGAAUAUAAAGGUCACAUGAUUUUGGCCAGGCAUGGUGGCUCAUGCCUGUAAUCCCAGCACUUUGGGAGGCCAAGGCGGGCGGAUCACCUGAGGUCAGGAGUCCAAAACCAGCCUGGCCAACAUGGUGAAACCCAGUUACUACUAAAAAUAUAAAAAUUAGCCAGGAGUGGUGGUGGGUGCCUGUAAUCCCAGCUACUAGGGAGGCUGAGGCAGGAGAAUUGCUUGAGCCCAGGAGAUGGAGGUUGCAGUGAGCCAACACGGUGCCACUGCACUCCAGCCUGGGUGACAGAGUGAGACUCCUCUCAAAAAAAAAAAAAAAGAUGGCACAAUUUCAGGGACAGCCCAGGUUCUGCAGUUCUUGUGGCCAUUGCUAAUAAGAGUGGACUCUGACUCAUCUAGGAGAAUGGGACUGAGUGGAAGACGUUUGUGGGAUUGCUCCUCAUGCCACCGUCUUCCCUGAGAUCUACUAGCUGCGUUUUUUAAUUAGUAAACUGAGAAAAAAAAAUACAUGCCUGGACAUUUUAUGCAUCUAUGAAAACAAUAGUAUUUAGGCUAGGCAUGCUGGCUCAUGCCUAUAAUCACAGCACUUUGGGAGGCUGAGGCAG
rnacentral:lncRNA from 1 species